GGUCGGAUGGUGUAGCUGGUUAUCACAUCUCCUUAACACGGAGAAGGUCCUGGGUUCAAACCCCAGUCUGAUCA
rfam:Exophiala aquamarina CBS 119918 aczIA-supercont1.2, whole genome shotgun sequence.